GGCCUUUUGUAGAUUUAAGGUCCAACCUGCCCACUGAGUAUUGAAGGGCCGUGGUAUACUGACCAUGCGAAGGUAGCAUAAUCAUUUGCCCCUUAAUUAGGGGCUGGAAUGAAGGGUUAGACGAGAAACUAGCUGUCUCUUCUAUUUACUUGAAGUUAAUUAUUUGGUGAAAAAGCUAAAUUUCUCUUAGAGGACGAUAAGACCCUAUAGAUCUUUAUAAAAUUAUAUUAGUUUUUUAGAUGUUAUCAAGUUAAUAGGUUUUUUAUUUCGUUGGGGCGACGUUGAGGGUUGAGAUAUCUCUCAAAAUGUUUUUACAUUAAUAAAUGAUUUUUGAUCCUUUAGUGAAUUAGGAUAAAGUUACCUUAGGGAUAACAGCGUAAUUUUUCUUGAGAGUCCUUAUCGACAGAAAAGUUUGCGACCUCGAUGUUGGUUCAGGGUUCCUUUUAGGCGCAGCAGUUUAGUAAGGUAGUCUGUUCGACUACUAAAUCCCUACG
rnacentral:rRNA from 1 species